rnacentral:rRNA from 1 species
UACGUAGGGUGCAAGCGUUUAAUCGGAAUUACUGGGCGUAAAGCGUGCGCAGGCGGUUUUGUAAGUCUGUCGUGAAAUCCCCGGGCUCAACCUGGGAAUUGCGUUGGAGACUGCAAGGCUAGAAUCUGGCAGAGGGGGGUAGAAUUCCACGUGUAGCAGUGAAAUGCGUAGAGAUGUGGAGGAACACCGAUGGCGAAGGGCAGCCCCCUGGGUCAAGAUUGACGCUCAUG